rnacentral:misc_RNA from 1 species
UUCACAAGAAUUUCUCAAAAUCUGACGCCAACCCAACCAGAAGAACAACAAGAGCAAGAACAAGAAGAAGGGACGGUCAAGAGAGGGGAAGAACGGUGAAGUCUGCGAGAUGGGUGUUGCUAACACCUCGUGGGUUGCUGGACAAGCAAUACCCAUGCUUCAAUUCAGUCCCUUUUGUUGCUUCGAUUUAUCCCCCAAGAAAUCUAAUGAUUCGAAGCUGAUUAUGAAUUGGGGUUGUUCUAUUCCCAACCAGCCUAAGCUUUCUAUUACUUCCACUAGAAAUCCUAGAAAUUCUGCCUUGUUUUGUCGUUGCAGUGGAAAUGGCAGUACUAGCGACAGUAAUAGUAACUCUUCGUCUUCUUCUUCUUCUUCAUCUUUGGAAUGGG